AUUGAACGCUGGCGGCAGGCCUAACACAUGCAAGUCGAACGGUAACAGGGAUCAGCUUGCUGAUUCGCUGACGAGUGGCGGACGGGUGAGUAAUGUCUGGGAAACUUCCUGAUGGAGGGGGAUAACUACUGGAAACGGUAGCUAAUACCGCAUAACGUCGCAAGACCAAAGAGGGGGACCUUCGGGCCUCUUGCCAUCGGAUGUGCCCAGAUGGGAUUAGCUAGUAGGUGGGGUAACGGCUCACCUAGGUGACGAUCCCUAGCUGGUCUGAGAGGAUGACCAGCCACACUGGAACUGAGACACGGUCCAGACUCCUACGGGAGGCAGCAGUGGGGAAUAUUGCACAAUGGGCGCAAGCCUGAUGCAGCCAUGCCGCGUGUAUGAAGAAGGCCUUCGGGUUGUAAAGUACUUUCAGCGGGGAGGAAGGGAGUAAAGUUAAUACCUUUGCUCAUUGACGUUACCCGCAGAAGAAGCACCGGCUAACUCCGUG
rnacentral:rRNA from 1 species